AUUCUUCCCUCUAAACCUAAACCUAUAUCGCGCCGUCCACCUUAUACCGUCGCCUCAUCUUCCUCUUCCUCUUCCUCUUCCUAGAUCGACGCCGAAAUUAGGGACCGUCAAUCCCUAAUUCUCAUCACCCUCCGCCCUCUCCCUCCUCCGCUCCUCGUCAAUCCACCGCCCACCUCCCUCUCCCUCCUCCGUUUCGCUCGCCUCUGCUACUUCUCCUCCUCCUUAUCGAGCCUCCUCUUGUUUUCUCUUUGAGAUCCUCGCCUCCUCCACCCCUUCCUCCAUCGAGCCUCCGCUUGUUUUCUCAUCACCCUCCUCCCUCUCCCUCCUCCACUCCUCGUCAAUCUUGCAUCUGCCACUCGUAGUUACGGAUCUGUGGUUGUUCAUCCCUUGCUGGUCAUGCCCACCACAAGCGCCCUGGGGACCGGCCCUUUGGAGGUUCGGUUCAACAAGGUAAUUGAGUCGCUCGUGGAUCAAAUUGAUCUAUCGGAAGAAGAGGCAGAAGUGUGCCUCAAGCUUCUACUCAAUGAAGCCAACGAGGCUUUAAUUAGAGCCUUCUCCAAGAGAGGAAAUGUGGACAAUAGUGUUAAAUGCAAUUGCGCAGAUCUUUUCCAGAGACUGUUUAGCCAAGCCCAUUCUUUACAAAGCAACUGAAAGCUUUUGAGGUGUGGCUAGCCCAUGGCUCCGAACAUAAGAAACCACCAGAACAGCUACCAGUAGUUCUUCAGUCUUGUCAGGUAGAUCUGGUGAAAGAUGGUGGUCACACAUAUUUUAUCAGGUUUCAUGAUAGCAUGGAUGCCUAUGCUGAGCAGCGAGCAAUGGCUGCUUUUGUCUUGGCAGUUGUAGUGGAUGGACAUCGGCGGAGACAAGAAGCAUGUAUUCAAGCAAAUUUUUUAAAUGUGUCCCUGAAGCAUUUACAAAUUGCUAAUCCAAGUGAUGGCCAAACUGAACCUUUACUUCUCCAUGGCUUUGUUUAUGUCUGGGCCAGGAAAGCUCUGGGAAGAUUUUCCAUAAGUACAAAUCAUAGGUUCUCAUGCAGAUGGAGUAGCAACUAUUUUACCUUAAUUGCUGGAACCAUAGCCCGAGGUAGAAUUUAUACAUCUUUGUAGUCUAUGUUUUACUAGGAAAAUUCUUGUAGUUCAACAUCUGUUUGGCAGGUUAGAGCUUCUGCUAUUUUUGCUUUGGGGACUCUUAUUGAUGUUGCAUCUAUCACAUUUGAUGGACAUAGAGUCGAUGAGGACUUUGAGAAUAAUGAAAAGUUAAAGUCUGAGUUGAAUAUCAUUAAAAAUCUUCUACAACUUGCUGUGGAUGGAAGUCCUUUGGUGAGGGCUGAGGUUGUUGUAGGAUGAACUGCAAGCACAUUUAUGAGAAGGAACUAGUAAUCCACUACAUAAGCACAAAGAAACCACAUCCUCGAUGCCCAGUUGCAGGUUGCCUAAAAAUUCUCCAAGUUGGACGGGUUGUAUGCGACGCCUUGCUUACAAUAGAAAUUGAUGAAAUGCGUUUGGCAUCAGCUACAAACAUAAUGUCAACAAUGGUAGAAGAUUUUUACAGAAGUUGACUGAAAAUGGCAACACUGCUCCCUGCAACUAUAAGCUUGAUAUAAUUUUUCAAGGUGAUUUAGCCUCUGUCGGUGAUUUGUCAUCAGCCAAUGCGAUUUAAGCAUCAUAGUUAAUUAUCUUUUGAUGUUAUAAGAAGAAUAUUUGUGUAAUUUGUGGAUACAGACUUGAUGUGUACAAUAUCUAUUAUCUUUUUAUAUUGUGAGAA